ensembl:lncRNA
UCACAGUCAGGGCUGGCUGAGGUUCACAGUCAGGGCUGGCUCAGGUUCACAGUCAGGGCUGCCUCAGAUUCACAGUCAGGGCUGGCUGAGGUUCACAGUCAGGGCUGGCUCAGGUUCACAGUCAGGGCUGGCUCAGGUUCACAGUCAGGGCUGGCUGAGGUUCACAGUCAGGGCUGGCUCAAGUUCACAGUCAGGGCUGGCUCAAGUUCACAGUCAGGGCUGGCUCAAGUUCACAGUCAGGUCUCGCUGAGGUUCUCAGUCAGGGCUGGCUCAGGUUCACAGUCAGGUCUGGCUGAGGUUCUCAGUCAGGGCUGGCUCAAGUUCACAGUCAGGGCUGGCUGAGGUUCACAGUCAGGGCUGGCUCAGGUUCACAGUCAGGGCUGCCUCAGAUUCACAGUCAGGGCUGGCUGAGGUUCACAGUCAGGGCUGGCUCAGGUUCACAGUCAGGGCUGGCUCAGGUUCACAGUCAGGGCUGGCUGAGGUUCUCAGUCAGGGCUGGCUCAGGUUCACAGUCAGGUCUGGCUGAGGCUCUCAGUCAGGGCUGGCUCAGGUUCACAGUUGGCUCAGAUUUCUGCUGUUGUCUGCUUAGUAGUAGUGAACAGUCAGCUUGUUCUCUGACCACGUUGAUUUUUUUUAACCUUACUCAAACGCCUUCUCGUGAAGUGAAUAUUUUCUUCAUGCACGUCAUGUUCUGUUUACAGUAAAAUGAUCUGAUAGAUUAAAGUCUGAUGGUAAAAAGAUAAAGUAAUAAUCAUCUUAUAAUACAGAGGGAACAUUCUCCUUUAGUCACAGCUUCCCCUGGAGUAUCCGGUGGAUGUUCCUCCAAACAUGUUUAUUCAUAAGAGCCAGAUAUGUAUUUAUAUGCAUUUAUUUAGUGGACUGAAGCCAUAUUGGCAGAGCUCCCCAUUUCAAAGCUGUUUUGAUCACAUUUCUGUGUAAAUACUGAGAUUCAGCCUCUAUACGUGCUCAAGAAGAAAAAAUUACAGAAAUAUAAGUGUGUGUGUGUGUGUGUGGGCGAGCGAGCAACACUUUGUUUUGUCAUGUCGAGGGCUCUGCCUGAGAAGGAAAUUGGAAACAGCAUUCUUCUUUCAUCUCUCUGCCUCCCCACCAACUCAAACACACACACAUUCCCUCAAAAAUCACACAUCUUUUCCUCCAGCUAGUUGAUCCCACCUGAAAGCUCUCUGAUGCAAACACGUGAACCUCUGAACACACUGAUGAAUCCUGAAGCAGGCAGCAGAGGUGUGUGUGUGUGUGUGUGUGUGUGUGUGUGUGUGUGUGUCUCCUCCGUUCAUAAAAGCAGAUCUUGAGGUGAUAGAAAACAAACAAUGAAGACGUCUGAAAUGAAAGCAGGAAAACAAAAGAGGAUUUAAGAGAAUCUGAGUCUGCAGCUUUUAAUUCUUUUCUCUCUGGGUCACACACACACACACUUUCACUUUGAUGUAAUGAAAACUUGUUAGAAGACGUACUGUUUUACGUAACUACAUUAAAGCUGUUUAAACUUUACAGCCUUCGUGGACUUUUUAGAGGCAGUUUGAAUCACGUCGUUAUCGUGAAAACAUGUUUUUGAAGACACUACAACUUGUGUCUGCCUGGUUGGCACUUUCUGCUUUGCCCUCUGACCUUUCACUCCUCAACCAGUGACUCCCUACAUGAGAACUGGGAAAAUCGUUUUCGAUUAUCACUUAUUGUGUUACAUGUGUUCAAUGACACACUCUCUCUCUGAGUGGCGCUGAGAGCGAUGACGUUUUGCAGCUGGUCGGCGUGCUAAACGCCGCCAUGGACCCGGAGGUCCAGAGAAGACCUCCACUGGUCACAACUGAGACGGCAGGAAGGACAACCGAGGACAGUGGGGGUCCAGCAGGGGGUGAAAAAGGGACAGGUCGAGUCCAGGAGAGUGUGGUGAGUGAAUGCAGAGUCCAGCUGGUGGAGAGAGGGACUCUCAUUAUGUAUUGAUUCAUAUGCUCCUCGGUAUGUAUUGAUCUGCUGCCGCCUCACUGACAACAAAUUGGUUGUGAAAGUGAAAGUGAAAGAGGAAAAGGUCAAAUUGCUCUGUUUGUAAAAGGUCAAAGCUCACCUGUGACUGUUACACCUCCAGUUAGAGUAUCAGACUGAAGAAGUGCGCCCGAGAACAAUUGAAGGACCAUAAACUACAACAGAUUUACAGCGCCUUGCAUAAGUCAUUUCAUUGGGAUUUUAUGUAAUGGACCAACACAAAACAGUCCACCAUAUGGAUUUUACUAACAAACCCUGACAAAGAUCUGGGUCAACCAAUUGCCCUCACAGGUUUUCAAGUCACAUAAUUAUUAGAUUUGGUGCAACGUCUCAGGAUAAAUACACUACUGUAUUAGUGUGAUGCAUUACUGUGUAGUGUAGUCGGACAUGUAGUCCGACAGGAAGUCACCAUGUUCAUGUAGUCCGACAGGAAGUCACCAUGUUCAUGUAGUCCGACAGGAAGUCGCCGUGUUCAUGUAGUCCGACAGGAAGUCGCCGUGUUCAUGUAGUCCGACAGGAAGUCGCCGUGUUCAUGUAGUCCGACAGGAAGUCGCCGUGUUCAUGUAGUCCGACAGGAAGUCACCAUGUUCAUGUAGUCCGACAGGAAGUCACCAUGUUCAUGUAGUCCGACAGGAAGUCGCCAUGUUCAUGUAGUCCGACAGGAAGUCGCCGUGUUCAUGUAGUCCGACAGGAAGUCGCCGUGUUCAUGUAGUCCGACAGGAAGUCGCCGUGUUCAUGUAG